rnacentral:rRNA from 1 species
GAUGAACGCUGGCGGUGUGCCUAAUACAUGCAAGUCGAGCGAACAGACGAGGAGCUUGCUCCUCUGACGUUAGCGGCGGACGGGUGAGUAACACGUGGAUAACCUACCUAUAAGACUGGGAUAACUUCGGGAAACCGGAGCUAAUACCGGAUAAUAUAUUGAACCGCAUGGUUCAAUAGUGAAAGACGGUUUUGCUGUCACUUAUAGAUGGAUCCGCGCCGCAUUAGCUAGUUGGUAAGGUAACGGCUUACCAAGGCAACGAUGCGUAGCCGACCUGAGAGGGUGAUCGGCCACACUGGAACUGAGACACGGUCCAGACUCCUACGGGAGGCAGCAGUAGGGAAUCUUCCGCAAUGGGCGAAAGCCUGACGGAGCAACGCCGCGUGAGUGAUGAAGUUCUUCGGAUCGUAAAACGCUGUUAUUAGGGAAGAACAAAUGUGUAAGUAACGAUGCACGUCUUGACGGUACCUAAUCAGAAAGCCACGGCUAACUACGU